rnacentral:lncRNA from 1 species
GACACUAGGCCCAAUGGAGGGGCGCGCGGGAGGUGGGUGGGGUCGGGAGACCGGGUAAGCCGCCGGCGGGUCGAGGAGGGGUGCGUGUCCCUUGUGGCAACUAGGAAACCGAGAACGAAGGCCAACGCUUCCUGGGCACGGGAGCUCGAAAGGCAUCUGGUUUCACUGCUGUUCUUUGGAAAACUCACAGUGCAAUGUGCUUCGUGACUGAACAGGCAUCUUGUGAUCCUGGGAAUGUCGAUUCAUUCAUUUGGCGAGUGUUUCUAUGGUCUUGGAGGGCCUUCUGUAUGCCAGACACCGUGCUAGGCGUUGGCGCUGCAGUCCUGACACACAUACACCUGAUUUCUGCCUUCACAGAACUUACAGUCUGAAGAGGGAAAGCGAGAAAACAAACAGUUUAAUUUUCAGGUCCCAGCCAGAGAACCUAGGAGAGAAGAAGGAAAACAUUUUUUCUUCUACUUUAGAAUCAGCAAUUUUCCAGGGAGACAUCAAGUUGAGAGACAUCAUUUUUGGAGUCACCAUCGUGUGCAUGGGACUUAAAGCCGUGAGGAUGAGAUCACCUAAGAAGCCUUUCCCACACUCUUCCCUCUGCCAUCUGACUCAGGAGACUGACCUGAGUGGACCAGACAGUGCUGAGCUGAUGGGCCCCAACAAAGAGGAAGGACAAGGAAACAAGAGAAUGAACUCCCCACCGGCUCCCUUAAAGCUGGCUGCACCUGACCUCCGGAGAUCACAGCCCCUCUCAAAGUGACCCUCUCCACAAAACAUUUUUGAAUCACCUUCUCUGGGUUUUGUUAACAAUAAUGCUUCCCUGUGUCCCUUCAGCCUACAGAGAGCAGCCCCAGGAUACUGCCCUGUCCUGUUUGCUUUUCUCCUCUUCUCCCCUUCCCACAUUUCUGAAAAUGGCCCAUUUAAUCAACCUAUUGGGACUAUUUUCAUUUGAGUGUGCCAUCUGUUUCCUGCUGGAUGUCUGACUCAUUCUGUAUACCCUCAACAAACACAACCCACACCAUCACAAAAUGAGAGUUGUAAGUAUUUGUUUUGUUGAUUCUGAUGGUUAAAUGGUCCAGAAAAUAUUGGCAUGGCUCACCUCUGGUACUUAACACUGCAUUGCUCAGAUACUUCACAAUCCCUGUCAGAAGGAGAAAGAAACUUCACUAGUGAACUUUGGUAGUAAUGUUCAUCUUCAAUGGCUUAUGAACUAAAAGAGUUAUAGUACUCUUUCCUUUAAAGUUCAGAUUUUUAUCCAUGACAGCUCUCAUGUUAGGUAAAUCUGUGCCAGAGCUACUUUAUUUUAAUUUGGGAGAGAGAGAAUCUCAAGCAGACUCCUGAUGAUGAGCACAGAGCCCGACUCAGGUCCCUGUUUCAUGACCCUGAGAUCAUGACCUGCGCCAAAACCAAGGGUCUGACACUUAACUGACUGAGCCACCCAGUUGCCCCACAGAGCUAUUUUAAUAAUAGCAUGAAUCAGAGCACAUGUCUUGCUCGAUCAGUAAAGCAAGCAACUUUUUUUUUUUAAGAGUUUAUUUAUUUAUUUAUAAAAGACACAGACAGAGAGGCAGAGAUACAGGCAGAGGGAGAAGCAGGCUCCAUGCAGGGAGCCCGAUGUGGGACUCAAUCCUGGGACUCCAGGAUCACACUCUGGGCCAAAGGCAGGUGCUAAACCGCUGAGCCACCCAGGUGUCCCAAGCAGGCAACUUUUGAUCUUGGACUUAUAAGUUCAAGCAGUGGAUGUAGAGACUACUUAAAAAUUAAAUCUUUAAAAAAUUUUUCUAUUAAGAAAAUAAUAAUAGCAUGAACAGAUGAUAUAAGAGCUAGUUGUAUAUUUUCCCUUGGUGGGUGUUAUUAACUCACAGGCUAUGGAUGAAAUAAGAACUCUGGUAAUUAAAACAUGUUUAAAAUAGCCAACAUUUGGGGAUGCCUCGGUAGCUCAGUGGUUGAGUGUCUGCCCUCAGCUCAGGGCAUGAUCCCAGGGUUCAGGAUCAGGUCCCACAUUGGCUCCUUGUCGGGAGCCUGCUUCUUUCUCCCUCUUUCUGUGUCUCUGCCUCUCUCUGUCUCUCAUGAAUAAUACUAAUAAUAAAAAUAGCCAACUUUUCUGAGCACUCAAGUUACUCCCUACCUAUAACACAAGCACAUGUAAAAACUGAAAUAAUUCCUCCAAGCCUUUGGGCACAUCAUUUGGCAAGUAACUUUCAGGCUGUGCUUAGUCUAAGUUUUCAUUUCCUACAGAAUAAGUGUUUUGAGCAUUAAGGAGAUAAAUGGAGGAGGUAAAUGGGUUGAGGCAGAAUUAUUAGGUUAAUUAUUUCCUUGUAGAAGGAAUGCUUCAAACUUGAUAAAAGGAAAUAGGUGAAGAUGACCAAGGGUUGACUCAAACCACUAUAUCAUUUUCUUGAUAGGCUUCUCCUUCUGACUUUCAGUUGGACAUGUUUUGCUCUUACAGAGGCGAGGGUGUGGAUCAGGAAGUAAAAAAAAAAAAAAAAAAGACAUGUAGGGCUGACUCAAGGCCAAGAAAAACUUGGGCUUUCUCACUGCAAAUUGAGCAAUCCUCUCCGUGCUCCUCACUCUCCUGACUGGCCUCAUCCAUUCCCUGUCCACAGUUUUUGAAUGCUGGUGAAGUCCAGAGCCAGCAGCCAAGAAGAAUUCUUGAGCCAUCUUUGGUGCAAAAUGUUGGUUUUAUUAAAGCUGGGAUAGGACCCGAGGUAGGGGGGGCAGGAAGAGCUGCUGCCCCAGGGUUGUGAUGGGUGGCUGACUGUAUACUUGGGAGUUGGAAAAGGGGGGUUUUCAAAAGAACUUUCAUAUGCUAAAGAAGGCGUACAGCCAUUGUCAAGUUAAGGCUGUUUUUGCUUCUAGCAAGGCAUUAACAUUAAGACAGUUGGGAGUUUCCUACUGGAAGUUAGGUUAUUGACAAGAAUGCUUUUUUUCUCUUAAAUCAAUAAAACAUUUGUCAAG